rnacentral:piRNA from 1 species
UAAUCAGUACACCUUACAGUGCUGGCUUUG